rnacentral:misc_RNA from 1 species
UCCGGCUUAUCACCGGCAGUCCCCUUAGAGUGCCCAACUGAAUGAUGGCAACUAAGGGCGAGGGUUGCGCUCGUUGCGGGACUUAACCCAACAUCUCACGACACGAGCUGACGACAGCCAUGCAGCACCUGUGUUCCGGUCCCGAAGGAACUCCAGAUCUCUCUGGAUAGCCGGACAUGUCAAGAGCUGGUAAGGUUCUGCGCGUUGCUUCGAAUUAAACCACAUGCUCCACCGCCUGUGCGGGCCCCCGUCAAUUUCUUUGAGUUUUAAUCUUGCGACCGUACUCCCCAGGCGGAAUGCUUAAAGCGUUAGCUGCGCCACCGAGAGGUAAACCUCCCGACACCUAGUCCGCAUCGUUUACGGCGUGGACUAC